GAUGAACGCUGGCGGCGUGCUUAACACAUGCAAGUCGAACGAUGAAGCUGGAGCUUGCUCUGGUGGAUUAGUGGCGAACGGGUGAGUAACACGUGAGCAACCUGCCCCUGACUCUGGGAUAACAGCCGGAAACGGCUGCUAAUACCGGAUAUGCACCAUGAACGCAUGUUCUGUGGUGGGAAAGAUUUUUCGGUUGGGGAUGGGCUCGCGGCCUAUCAGCUUGUUGGUGAGGUAAUGGCUAACCAAGGCGUCGACGGGUAGCCGGCCUGAGAGGGUGACCGGCCACACUGGGACUGAGACACGGCCCAGACUCCUACGGGAGGCAGCAGUGGGGAAUAUUGCACAAUGGGCGAAAGCCUGAUGCAGCAACGCCGCGUGAGGGAUGACGGCCUUCGGGUUGUAAACCUCUUUUAGCAGGGAAGAAGCGAGAGUGACGGUACCUGCAGAAAAAGCGCCGGCUAACUACGUG
rnacentral:rRNA from 1 species